CAAGGAGCUGCCCUGGAGCCUGGGAAGAAAAAGCAAGGCAAUCAGGGAGAUGUAACAACUGAAGAGAGGUUUAUAGCUUCACAAUUUCUUUUUUGCUUUAAAACCAAAGUGAAUGAAAGAGUAAAAUAAUACAUCGAUUUGUGAAGAGACACAGGAAGUCCUCUCCUGAAGAAAAGCAAUGGCAUUGGGGCUGAGUCUUUCAGUCCAAGGAGAAGCCAGAUGAGGAGACGAUGCAGGAGAGGAGGCAGGCCACCGGCACUGGAAGAACAAUCUCCCCCAAGGCAGCAG